CCGGAAGGGCAGUCAUUACAUUGUAAAGCUCAAAAAUAAUCUCUUUUGACUUCAUGUCUCACAUCCAGGGUGUGCUGAUGGAAAUGAUGGGCUUCCACAGCCUUCCGCAGCUCCGCCCCUGUGGCUUGCAGGGUUCAGCCCCUGCAGCUGCUUUCAUGGGCUGACAUUGACUGCCUGCAGCUUUUCCAGGCACAUGGUGAAAGCUGUCAGUGAAUCUACCAUUCUGGGGUCUGGAGGACAGUGGCCCUCUUCUCACAGCUGCACUAGGAAAUGCCCCAGUGGGGACUCUGUGUGGGGGCUCUAACCCCACAUUUCCCUUCCACACUGCCUUAGCAGAGGUUCUCAAUUAGGGCUCAACCCCUGAAGCAAACCCUUACCUGAACAUCCAGGCGUUUCCAUACAUCCUCUGAAAUCUAGGCAAAGGAUCCCUAACCUCAAUUCUUGACUUCUGUGCAUCCACAGGCUCAACACCACAUGAAAGCCACCAAGGCUUGGUUCUUGCAACCUCUGAAGCAAUGGCCUGAGAUGUACCUUGGCCUCUUUUAGCCAUGGCUGGAGCUGGAGUGGCUGGAAUGCAGGGCACCACGUCCUGAGGCUGCGCACAGCAGCGGGGAUCUGGGCUUGGCCCAUGACACCAUUUUUUCCCUUCUAGGCCUCCAGGUGAUUAAAGCAGAAGGGCCAACAGAAAUAGCCCAUUUCUCCAACUCUUCAGAUACACUAAUAUCUCCUAACUUGCUCAGCACAACAUGCACACAUUUUAUGAAUGAAACAAAGUGUUCUCAAAGGGUGGAUAGAAACAACAACUUCCUACUGGUCUCUGCUCCAUUUCACCUUUCAGGGUCACCAGCUUCAAGGCAACCAGUGAGCGCUUGUCCUCCCCUGCACACAUAAUGACUUUUGGCACGUAAGUGGAAGGAACUUGCCCUGUCUUGGAUGAGACUUUGGACUGUGGACUUCUGAGUUAAUGCUGAAAUGUGUUAAGACUUUGGGAGACUCUUGGGAAGGCAUGAUUUGUUUUGAAAUGUGAAGACAUUAGAUUUGGGAGGAGCCAUGGGUGGAAUAAUACGAUUUGGCUGUUCCUCCCAAAUCUCACCUUGAAUUCUGACAUGUUGUGGGAGGGACCUGGUGGGAGGUGAUUUAAUCAUGAGGCAGGUCUUUCCCAUGCUGGUCUCAUGAUAGUGAAUAAGUCUUACGAGACUGAUGAUGGUUUUAAAAUGGGGAGUUUCCCUGCACAAGCUCUAUUCUCUUGUCUGCCGCCAUGUCAGACAGGCCUUUUACCUUCUGCCAUGAGUAAGAGGCCUCCCCAGCCACGUUGAAUUGUAAGUCUGAUAAACCUCUUUCUUUUGUAAAUUGCCCAGUCUCAGGUAUAUUUUUAUCAGCAGCAUGAAAACAGACUAAUACAGUCACCCUCAUAAGUUAGCAAAUUACUUAGCUGCCUCAUCUUCAUGCCCUGGGGAUCUGUGGAAGCUUUACCUUAAGAGUGAUGACUUAGGGUAUCUAGUGUAAGAAAUUUCUAAGCAGCACAGAAUUCAAGGUGUGGCCUGGCUUCUUCAAACCAGCAUACUCUCAGAUGCAGGAAUGAAUAAAUUACUUAAAAUUGGAAGUUAUAUUAAUAUUAAUAUUUACCAGGGAGGCAGAGGGUGAAAGUUUGGAAAAUUUACAGCCUAGUCCUGUGGCAAAGAAAAGAGAAACUUUUUAGGAGAGGGAUCCAAGCAGUCUACAGAACAACCACUUGUUAAAGAGAUUUGCAUGUGUAAAAGGGAGCAACUGCUUAUAGCCAAGACAAUGGGAAAAAGUCUGGAAGGCAUUUCAGAGAUCUAAUAGGCAGCACCUCUCAUCACAGGCCCAGAGGCCUAGGAAGACUAAAUGGUUUCAGGGGAGAGGCCCAGGGCCCCACUGCCCUGCUCAGCCUUAGGACAUACUCCCCCGAUCCUGAUUGCUCCAGCCACAACUCAAAGGGGCCCCAGGACAACUCAAGUCACUAUUCCAGAGGAUGCAAGCUGUAAGCAUUGAUGGCUUCCAUGUGGAGUUAAGCCUGGGAACAUCCAAAGUGCAAGAGUGAAGGAGGCUUGGCAGUCUCUGCCUAGAUUUCAGAGAAUGUAAGAGAACACCUGGCUGCUCAUGAAGAAGCCUUCUACUGGGGUGAAACUCUCACAGAGUACCUCUACUAGGUCAGUGCCAAGGGGAAAUGUAGGGUUAGAGUUUCCACACAGAAACUCUACUGGGGCAUUGGAUUCCUAAUGGCUCAGUCCUGUCCUCAAGAUAGUGAGUUCUCAUGAGAUCUGGUUGAUUAAAAGUGUGUGACACCUCUCCCCCUGACUACUGGUCUUACCAUGUGAUAUGACUGUUCCUGCUUCACCUUCAACAAUGAGUAAAAGCUCCCUGAGUCCUCCCAGAAGCCAAGCAGGUGCCAGUGCCACAUUUCCUGUAUAGCCUACAGAACUGUGAGUCAAUUAAGCCUAUUUUCUUUAUAAAUAUCCCAGUCUCAGGUACUUCCUUAUAGCAAUGUAAGAACAACCUAACAUACCACACUGGUAAUUUUCAGUUUAUUCAACAGUGUUUUUCUUUAAUACUAAUAUCUGUAUCAGAAAUAUGUCAUAAUCAUCUAAAUUGUAUGCUAAUAAAAUUAACAUUUAUUUUUACUUUGCAUUUGUUUUCAUGCACUUAUUAUCAAUAACUAGAAAAAGACAUUUACAAUAAACAGUUUGGGUGUAGUAUUAGAAGUCUAAUCAUUCAAUAAUUCUUAAAGAUAUUUAGAAGUCUGCUUCAUUGUUACUGAAGAUAUCACUAAAACUGUAUUAUUGUUGGCCAAACAUGGCUGAAAGUCCAAAAAGAGUAGAUCAUUUGUUGUGCUUUUGAAAGAAAUUGAAUGUGACAUUUUGCUGGACUAUAAUAAUACUCAUAAUAAAAAAAUACAUUAGCUGUGUUCUAUACAUACAUUAUUAAUUAUCUGUUGAUAGUCAAUAAUAUUCUAUAUAAUGUUAACUAUAGUUUUAUUUACCAGUUCAAUAAAGAACAACCUCUUUUACUAUACUGUUAAUUAUAGUCUCUAUAAUGUUAGCUAUAUUUUAUUUACCAUUUUCUACACUUAAGUUACACUGAAGUAAAAGUCUUAUUGCAUUUUUAUUUUUAUUUUUUAAUUUAUUUAAUUAAUUUUUUUGGGAGACAGAAUCUCACUUCAUCAUCUGUGCUGGAGUGCAGUGGUGCAAUCUUGGCUCACUGCAACCUCUGCCUCCUUGGUUCAAGUGAUUCUCGAGCCUCAGCCUCCCAAGUAACUGGGAUUACAGGCAUGCGCCACUAAGCCCAGCUAAUUUUUGUAUUUUUAGUAGAGAUGGCUUCCCCGCAUUGGCUGGGCUGGUCUUGAACUCCUGGCCUCAAGUGAUCCAUCCUCCUCGGCCACCCAAAGCACUGGAAUUACAGGCAUGAGCCUCUGCACCUGGCUGCAUUUUUUUUAUUUUCAGCUUUCAUUCAUCAGGAUAUAGGAAGUGAUAUCUGUUUUAUAGGGAUAAUACCACAUCAGCUGAAGAGCUACUUAUUACAGAAAAAAUGAUUGUACCUUUUCAAAACUUAAAGAAAUUUGUAGUCAACAUUUUGAAGGAAGGUCAGCAUGACAUUAAAUAACAAAAUUUGUAGUUUCAUUGAUUUGUUUAUUUUUAUUUAAUUGAAUGAUUUACAUGUUGUUUAGAUGCUAAACAGAUAAAGUUUAAGAUCUUAUAUUUAAUUUGAAAUAGAAUGCAUUGUGUAAUUUCAUUGUAAACCUGGAAUUUAUAAAUCAUAGCUCCUAUGUUUUUAAAAUAAUUUAUUUACUGAUGUUCAAAGGACAGAACUGUACACAAUGUGCUGUGAAAUUUGCUCCAAUAUUUUCUUUCUCAAUUUGAAUAAAGCAAUCUUCUGAAGGUGCUAUGAAAACAUAAUGACUAGUGUUACAUUUUAUAAUAUAGUUUGUAAUUUUGCAUUAGCUCAUAUACUGAAGUUUAAAUGACAAUUAUCAGAGAAUGUAUUAAGUAUACAAUCAUUAUUGGGAUCUAAGUUCUUUUUGCUUGGAUGUUAGGUUAGCAGUCUCCAAAAUUAAUAAAUAUGUCAUUUAUUAGUGCAAGGUGUAUUUUUAUUAAAUUGCUACAGACUUUUGUAUGUUUUGUGUGUUGGUUUUACACAUAAGACUAACUAUUCAAAUGGAUUUUUCUCCAGAACACUUGUAUCACAUAUCCAUUUAUUUCUCUUUAUCAUGUUUUCUGUGGUCAAAGUUUACUUUUUGAGAAGUUUUUGCCUUAUAGACAUAAGAUUAAGGAAGUUUACAACUUGAUGACAAUUGCAUGCUUGCUAAAUUAGUUGCAUAAUUGUUUUGCACAGGAAAUUGUAUGUGCAAAUACUUUGAUUAGAUUCACAUUCUUCUGGCUAAGUUCUCAAAAUAUAUCAUUGAAAAAGACAUUUACAUUUAAAUGUACCCCUGCUACAGCUACA
rnacentral:lncRNA from 1 species